AGAAAAAGAAGGAGUUAGUGCUGUGAGGAGCUGCCCAUGAGAAAUGACCAAGAAGCUUCAGUGAAAAUCUUGCCAAAUAAUUUAUCUUUCAUCUUCCUGUGUGCCUCAACCUGUGCAUCUGCCUCUAGGAAUCCAGUGGAGAAGGCACCUGCUCUUUGGGAAUCCAGUGUGAAAAGGCUGUCUCUGUUGUUCCAAAUCCCUGAUUAUAUCCAGGUAGGAAUACUUUGAUAAUCCCUCUGGGCAGAGCUUCUCACAAUAAGAUGAUGUAAUUUUAUCAGUCGUACAGUAACACUCAUUGGCCCAUUAACAAAAGAUAUCUCCAUGGAGGAAGGAUUGGUGGUGGAAGAGAUAAAGAAAACUACACAAUUAACAGAAAAUAGCUGUCCCACAUAUAACAGAUGGCAAAUACAAUACACAGCCCAAUUUCCAAAUUAACCAAUGGCCAAAUUUUUCACAAGAUGAAAAUGGAAAUACAUUCCAAUGACAAUUCUGGGAGGAAAGACAGACCUUGAAUUUGAUAUAGACAAUGUAAUGUCAAUUAAAAUUAAUUUCUUCAAAUAAUACAAGUUUCUGGGGUAAAAAAAGAUAUUGUGAGGAAAAAAAAAUCAUAGUAUUAAAUAAGGGUCUAUCAUAACUGGAGGGUUUUAGUUUUGAAUUUAUUAUUCUGAAAAAGAAAAACAUAAAAUAAAUUUUAAUAUAAAUUUCAAAUAAGAAAACUUAAGGGAAUGCAGUAAAAAAUUUAAUAAAAUAUCUGGAGCAUAUUGCAAUAAAAGUAAUGAAUUCCACAGUUAUUUUAAUUGAUAGUGAUAGCUAGA